GCAAGUCGAGCGAGAACGGUUCUUCGGAACUUAUUAAAGCGGCGGACGGGUGAGUAACGCGUGGGAAUCUACCGAGUAGUGGGGGACAACUGUUGGAAACGACAGCUAAUACCGCAUACGCCCUACGGGGGAAAGCAGGGGAUCUUCGGACCUUGCGCUAUUUGAUGAGCCCGCGUUAGAUUAGCUAGAUGGUGGGGUAAAGGCCUACCAUGGCGACGAUCUAUAGCUGGUUUUAGAGGAUGAUC
rnacentral:rRNA from 1 species